AGGAAUUCCGCUUCACCACCGAUUAUGACGAUUGAAGAGUUUGUUAGUCAACCGGGCUGUCAAUAUAUCCCGAGGCUCCACCCGGAAGAAGAAAACGGAGCUACAUGGUAAUUAAUUUCAUUUUAUCUACUUACAUAUAAUUGAUGAAUUUGAUUCUUAACUAAUUAUUAUUUUACAUGUCUCUAGGUUUGGAUUAGAGGGAAAGAUAACAAAAUCCAUUCUUAAUAUUUUAAAGUCGC
rnacentral:lncRNA from 1 species